rnacentral:rRNA from 1 species
AGCGAACGCUGGCGGCAGGCCUAACACAUGCAAGUCGAACGGACCCUUCGGGGUUAGUGGCGGACGGGUGAGUAACACGUGGGAACGUGCCUUUAGGUUCGGAAUAGCUCCUGGAAACGGGUGGUAAUGCCGAAUGUGCCCUUCGGGGGAAAGAUUUAUCGCCUUUAGAGCGGCCCGCGUCUGAUUAGCCAGUUGGUGAGGUAAUGGCUCACCAAGGCGACGAUCAGUAGCUGGUCUGAGAGGAUGACCAGCCACAUUGGGACUGAGACACGGCCCAAACUCCUACGGGAGGCAGCAGUGGGGAAUCUUGCGCAAUGGGCGAAAGCCUGACGCAGCCAUGCCGCGUGGAUGAUGAAGGUCUUAGGAUUGUAAAAUCCUUUCACCGGUGAAGACAAUGACUGUAGCCGGAGAAGAAGCCCCGGCUAACUUCGUGCCAGCAGCCGCGGUAACAC